rnacentral:rRNA from 1 species
GACGUAGGGGGCCAGCGUUGCUCGGAAUUACUGGGCGUAAAGCGCACGUAGGCGGCUUCUUAAGUCGGUGGUGAAAUCCUGGAGCUCAACUCCAGAACUGCCUUCGAUACUGGGAAGCUCGAGUCCGGGAGAGGUGAGUGGAACUGCGAGUGUAGAGGUGAAAUUCGUAGAUAUUCGCAAGAACACCAGUGGCGAAGGCGGCUCACUGGCCCGGUACUGACGCUGAGGUGCGAAAGCGUGGGGAGACAAA